UUAAAAAGAAAGAAUGUAGGUAUUAUGUUCCCCACCAGGACCCCAUCUUUGGGGCCAAUGUACUUCUUUCCAAGCAGCUGGGAAUACUGGCUGCUUUGGUUCACAGGUGUAUCCCUCAUUUGAAAUUGCCCUUGGCUUCAGGGGACUGACGGGACCCAAGUUCACAGCUCUCCCAGGUGUGGCUGAUGCAGGAAUAAAAAACAAAACAAAACAAAACAAAACAAAACACCUUGCUCCAGUUUGGAAUAAUUCUAAGAACCAGUCCAGCUCCAGAGCAGCCUGUAGAAUCCUGAGGCUUCAGUUAUGACCACCUCUCUCACUGCCUAAUCCUUCUUUCUUUACUUCCUUACAGCUGUAUCUCCUGAGAUCACUGUUCGGCAACAACCUGUAUGAAAAUCCUCAGAAACUAUUUCCAGAAAACCCAAUCCAAGGCAGAGAUUAAAGUCCAGAAUAAGAAUUAGUUUGUGAAUAUUCUUAAUAAAAAUAGACUUUUAAGUCAUGAUCUGAACAAGAACAAGUGAAAGAUAGGCCAGAUCCUGGGAAGGACAAUAUAAUGUUAGAUUAAGGCAGAACUUGUGGAUGACAUGAUCAUUAUGGUCCCUACCAUAUGUAGAACUUUAUGACUAUCAGUUUAUGCAAUUUCUACUUUCCCUCUAGCUUCUCUAGCAAGAAGGAUUGUCUUUGAUUUGUAAAUUGAAAAACCAUCAGCCUACAAAGAAAGCUCAAUCCAAUUAAGGCAGGUAAGAUACGGGGUGCCUGGGUGGCUCAGUAGGUUAAGUGCCAACUUUGGCUCAGGUCAUGAUCUCACGGUUCAUGGGUUUGAGCCUUGUGCUGGGCUCUGUGCUGACAACUCAGAGCCCGGAGCCUGCUUCGGAUUCUGUGUCUCCCUCUUUCUCUACCACACCUCCUGCUCACACUCUGUGAUAAAAUAAAAAACAUUUUUAAAAAAUGAAAAAAAAAAAAGACAAGAUAACAAGAUCACCCCAUUGUAUUUUUAAAUGAAAUCAUUAACUUAAAAAAAGAUACAUGCUCACUGUAAGAAAGUGAGCCAGAGUUGUCAUCAGCUCUGUCAUGUGAAGAAAUCCUUUCUGGAGUAGGAUAGAAUGAAGCCGAGAAGCUGAAAAAAUUAGAGAUAGGGACUAAGAGAGAGUCCUGGAGACUCAAGUUCAUUAGAUUACAGCUCCAUCCCUGCCCUUUCCAAUUACAUGAAUAAGUCCACUGUUUUUGCUUAAUUGAGUUCCAGUUGGGUUUUUUUUUUCUUUUUAGUAAAAAGGACUGAAAAAUAAUAAGUUCAUAGAUGAGGAUUUUGGUGCUCACUCACUUAAGUUAUAAGAAGUAAACAGCAGAUUCAGGCAUCUCAGCCACACACCUAUUUCUUUCCUUUUUCCUCUGUUGAUGAGUAGUUCUCGAUCUCUCUCUACUGUCUGCAGAAACGUACCAGGGGCCUGUAGGAGAAUCCCCUAUGUAGAUUUUAUUAUUGCUUCUAGUCAUUUGCCUCUCUCCCACUAAGAAGAACAUAACAGCUUUGUAGUGCUUCACUAUGAGAGAAUAUGCACAUCAGAUGUCCCUCUUCCGUGGGACAUCAAAUCACACAGCUGCCCAGGAACAGCUCAAAUGCCGACAAGCUCCAUCUGGGGCAGGUGCAGGAAUCACUCUUAGAGUCUUGUUCCCCACAGGAGUCAAUCUCUUGUAACGACUUCAGAAACAGAGCUUCCAAGUCAUCACAAAGUCACGCCCAGUGAAACAGUCACCACACUCAGGGAAGCUGGAUGCUAGACAGCCGCCAGCAGGUAUCUAUAGGGCAUUUACAGUUCCUCCCAGCACAGAUGCAACUUCUCAGAGAUCACUUUUAUCAUGAGCAAUGUUGCUGAGCAAUACUGUUAAUACAGUGGUCUAAUCUGGAGCUCCAGGGGAACAGAGCUAGUGAGUUGAAUAAAGGUCAAAUUCUUAAGCAGCAGGGAAAACAUUUUGUUAACCGUUUACCCGAAUUGCCACACCUGAGAGCAGGUUUGAUCCUAUGCCUUGCUCCGACCAGCAGAAUGUAAGUGGGGUGACUUUCGCCCUUUCCAAGCAGCAGCCUUACCAGCCAUUGCAUGGUUCCACUUUUACCCUCUUCACUCUGCCAAGAGACAAGGAUAGGGGCAACACCUUUGGCCCACGACCCCAGAUGAAGGAGACAUUUGGAGCACAGCCAUGGAACAGAGCAGCAGCUGCCAGAAAACCUCCAAGAUAGAUAUGGGUGAUCAAUGAGAUGCCAGAAGAAUCCGCCGCAAUGGUCAGGAUUACAGACUGAGAAAGGAGGUUGCUGAGCACUGAUGACAUCACAGAGCGACUGACCGUACAGGCUGGAUUUUUCCUACAAGCUUCUUACUUGUGUAGUGCUUCUCACUGACAGACCUGGAACUACAUGGGGAAGAGGAUCCUGGAAAAUGUGAAUCUAGGCUUCUCUUUAUUAUGAAAGAGCAAAGAGAUGAUAUCGAAAACAGACUAUCCUAGGUGAAUCUACAAAGACCUCAAAAUAAAAAUUCUAGAUAACUCUGAGAUAUGGAACCUUCAGCACAGGAUUUGAAGAAAGGAUUCCAGCACUGAGCAGAAGAUGGUUAUGAAGAAAGAGAGGGGUGUGAACAAGAUGUCACUCCCAAUCCCUUUCCUGAAGGAGGUUGACUUCGUCCAUUUGGCAGGGCAGGCUUUUAAAGAUUUGGCUCAUUGAUAUUUUUAAUUGGUAAACUGGGGAGAGACCAAUUAUUCAAUCCUCCCUUUUGAGGCCGAAUAAUGCAGAGGCUCUUUGGAUGAUGCAAAGUCUCAUUCAAAAAAGGAAUUCUCCAGGGAAAACUGAAACAAGUGGGUGCGACUCAGCAGGAUUCAAAGCACCUUACUGAUUGAACAAAGAGGAUUACUUUACUUUUUUUUAAGGGUCAUGCAACUACUUCUGGCCAAUGGGUUGUAAGCAGAAAUCUCUGCUUGAGACCCUCCAAACUGCUUUUCCUUCUGGCAUGAAGACUAGCAAUGUUCAAGAUGACAGCUUGUCCACUGGCCUGGAACCCCGAGUGACUCUAAGGAGCAAAGCCUUACUGAUGACCUAUAAAGGACAUAAAGCAUAAGCGGUAAAUAAAUCCUCACCAUUUGAAGCCACUAAAAUUCUGUGAUGAUCUGUUACUGCAUUGCUUAGCCUCAUCUUACUCAUGCACUAUAUUUCCUAUAUCACAGAUGGAAAAUCCACUGUAUCUUUAUCUUUGUUAGGAUCAGGAAUUUGUAAAAAUCAAAAGAAAGCAGACAAGAGUCAAAGCAGGAAAGGUCCCAUAGGGACUUUCUCUCUCAUCAUGGAUGUAAACAUCACCAAAAAUGUUCCUUAAUUUCAGAGAAUCCAUUUGGCUUGUAGUGACAAGAGAAAAAUGGGUUCCAUUCUAAAACAUGUUUUUGUUAUAUCACUAAAUAUUAUUAUUUUAAAAAUUUUUUUAAAUGUUUAUUUACUUUUGAGAGUAAGAGAGACAGUGUGGAGUGGGGGAGGGGCAGAGAGAGAGGGAGACACAGAAUCCAAAGCAGGCUCCAGGCUCUGAGCUGUCAGCACAGAGCCCGACGCGGGGCUUGAACUCACAAACUGCGAGAUCGUGGCCUGAGCCAAAGUUGGACGCUCAACUGACUGAACCACCCAGGCGCCCCUCACUAAAUAUUAUUAAUGGAAAUGAUAAUAGUUCGCUUGAACUGAAUGCGAUUAUGUUCUGGGCCCUAUACUUGGUGCUUAAUUUAUCUCAUUUAAUUUCACUUCAUCCUCACAGUGAUCCUAAGAACUAGCUAUUGAUAUUGAGAUCUUCCUAGCUUCAAACUAGUAUUCUUUCCUUUAUGGCCAUGGGGUCUUAUAAUUUUCAAAGUGCCUUUACCAUACAUAAUUCUACUUCAUCUCUUCAGCAACUAUUGUGUUGAUAUUCUUCAUUUUGCAGAUGCAGGAAUAGGACUUCGGGUAACUUUUUUGAUCUGUGCUGGGUCAUACAGUGAGUAUUAGAACCAGGUCCUUGGAAUCCAGUCCUUUUGGUUCUUUAUUACACUUUGCAGAACAAUAAAAAUAAUGCAAAGAGAUGGUUAAACACAAUGUAUUUUUCAUUAAUGCUUUUCUUCAGGCAUCUGAUUUACAUAGGUGCUUUUCACUUUGGGGGAGACAUAGCCAAAAUCUUGGAAUGGUUUAGACCCUCUGUGAUAAAUAGUUUGCCAUUUAGUCAAGCAGGUUAAAAAUUAAAGCAGGCAUCAACUAGAAGUCAUUGUUUCCAGGUUUAUAAAGUGCUUUGCAGAAGGCAAUCUGGUGAGAGUUUUAAAUGGAUUGUCAUGUGUUUGAUUAAACGGUCCGGGCAAAUACCCCUGAAGCUUACAGAACAGAGCCUUUAUUUUCAAAGAAACUCAGUUGCAUUUAGCCUGGCUGAACUAGAGCCCCUUUGAAAGUCAGGACAAUGACAAGAGGAGCCAGUAGUCAAACACUCUUAGGGUCAAACUGGAAAGGCAUUAUUCUAUAAACUUUCUAUUUUUUCCAUAGUAAAAAAAUUAAUAGAUUUCUAUCAGGACACCCUUCCAGGAGGACUGGAAGUACCUAUUCUCUCUCUCUCUCCUUAAAAAAAAUUUUUUUAAUCUACUGGCAUAACAUUAUACAUCAUAAUUUUUUUUUUCAUAAUCACAUUAAGAGAAAACUUUUAUUUUGUGUCUUUCAUUUAAAUCUUGAAAUAUACAUAUUAUGAUUAUAUAUACAUAUAUUAUUUUUCAAAUAAUUUUCAUACAAAAGAUGUUACAGUCUUGGCAACGUGCUUUAAAAGAAUUUCCAAACCUGACAAAAUAUUCUGAACAUCUCCUCAUGUCAAUCAUUUAUCUAUAUAUGAUUUCUAACACAUACAUGCUAUUAUACUGUAUGGGUCCGUAGUAAUUUAUUGCACCCAUCCCUACUUUUAGACAUCUAGGUUAAUUCCAGCUUUUCACAGGUGCAAAUAAAUAAUGCUGGAUAAACAGCCUUGAAAGUGAAUUUCUGCCCUUAACUCUGGUGUGUUUUAGGUGGUAGUCUUAAACCCAUUUAAAGUAUGGGGAUUAUUAUCACAGUAAUAGCUAACAUUCACUGAGCAUAUUGUAAGUAGGCCAGUGACCUAAAACAAGUUUCUCUGUCUCCAGAUUUCUUGUUUUUGCUUUUGCUCAGGAGUAUUUUGUCUACCACUGGGAAUCUGAGAGGCUGGCUUUGUCAUUCGCUAUCUAGUGUGACCUGAGAACCGAGUCACCAGGUCCACACUCAAGAGGAGGGGUUGCACAAGACAAGAAUACUGGAAAUGAAGAUUAUUGGGAGUCAUCUUAGAAGCUGCCUACCACAUAACUGUAUCACAAAUUCACUUUUUAGUGUUUCAAUAACUGCAUGUUAAUAAAAUCAAUUUCCUUUGUAGCCCUAGAUGGUUUAUUUUAUGCAUUUAAGGACAAUAUUCUGAAAAAGAUCCAUAGAUUUCACCAAGCUUCCAGAAGGGCACAUGGCUUUAAUUUAUUUUAGUUCAGGCACCUUCAACAACUUCUUGCAGGAGUUUGUUUAGAAUAGCAUCAGUUUAAAAACUGGAGGUUAAAGCUUUAGUCUCCAUAUUAUCCUCUUCUGAUACCCUAGACUAGUCCAUAUUACUCUAGUGGUAUGAAAAAAAUGGCAUACUGGAAAGUAUAAAAUUGCUCUAGAACAUUCCACAAACUGUUCUCCAUUCUACUCAUUUGAAUUAAUGUAUGUACGAGUGUGGUGGAGGGAAAGAGGUGUAUAGGCCUCUGUCAAGCAUGUUUGAUCACAAUGAAACUUCCUUAUACUUGUACAUGGCAAUUGUCAUUUGAGCCUCAAAAGGACCAUAUGAUAAAGGUGGAAAUGAUUUCCUCAAGAAUACACUAAUUACCACAAUAGUGCUUUUUCUGUUACCAAGCAAUGUAUGAGAAAAGCACCGAGUGUAAAAAAAGAGAGAAGUGAUGUCAUGAGGCUUCCCUAAGUCUUUUGCAUCUAUCACUUGCUCUUGGUGAAGUUAAAGAUAAUUAUGUUUUCUGCAAGCACAGUACCAGCUUCAUAUAUUGCCUUAGUAAUCUCUAAAAGCCAGGGGUAUGUGAUAACACCUCCAAUAUGCAGAUCAAAGAUAAAUUUGUUAACAAUAAUUGGGAACGAUUCUCUUAUUUGGUUUGCCCAGCAACUUUUCUCCCCAAAGACAAAUGCAUCAUCUUCACAAAGUCAUCUCUUUUGAGUCAUGAUGCAGGGGUUUUCCUCCUGGUUCACCGAUCCUACAUAAAGGAGCCCAGUACUGUCAGAUAUUUUAGAUUUUCCAAGAUAACCCAAGCAAGUUUUUCGUGUAUGCCUCCCAGGUUUUUGUGGCGUUUCCAAAUUUAAAUCCCUUUCAAAAAGUCUUUGCAGUGGAGUCACGGUGAGAUGGAAAAGGGUCAAGGAACCCGGGUUACUUCUAGAUCCCACAGCUAGUGGCUAAGCAACUUGGUCAGCCAAUCCAUCUUUGUUAAUUAUCACCUUUUCGUAAUCUGCAAAUUGCGUGGAUUCGU